AUUGAACGCUGGCGGCAUGCCUUACACAUGCAAGUCGAACGGCAGCACGGGAGCAGUCCUGGUGGCGAGUGGCGAACGGGUGAGUAAUAUAUCGGAACGUGCCCAGUAGUGGGGGAUAACUGCUCGAAAGAGCAGCUAAUACCGUAUACGACCUGAGGGUGAAAGGGGGGGAUCGCAAGGCCCCCCGCUAUUGGAGCGGCAGAUAUCAGAUUAGCUAGUUGGUGGGGUAAAGGCCUACCAAGGCAACGAUCUGUAGUUGGUCUGAGAGGACGACCAGCCACACUGGGACUGAGACACGGCCCAGACUCCUACGGGAGGCAGCAGUGGGGAAUUUUGGACAAUGGGCGCAAGCCUGAUCCAGCAAUGCCGCGUGCAGGAAGAAGGCCCUCGGGUUGUAAACUGCUUUUGUCAGGGAAGAAAUCCUCUAGGUUAAUACCCUUGGGGGGAUGACGGUACCUGAAGAAUAAGCACCGGCUAACUACGUGCCAGCAGCCGCCGUAACAC
rnacentral:rRNA from 1 species